GUAUUUUCCAGUCCAUUGGGUGAAGCCAGCAAUACGUUGAUACAUAAACCAGACAGACAAUCACCAGAAAAGAAGACUGCGGACCUUGUGAACCUCCACGCAAGAAUUCUUAACAUUUUUUUAUUAAGCAAAUGGAAUCCAACAAUACAUAGAGCAGAUAUGCUUUUGAAAGUCUGUUGAAAUCCAAAACCCGUUUGUGAUAAAAGGUCUCCGGGAACUAGGAAUAGAAAGGAAUGUCCUCAACUUGACAAAAAAAAAAAAGCAUCUACAGGAAACCCACAGCCAACAUCACACAAAUGGUGAAAGACUGAGUCCCCCCCCCCAAUCAUAAAUAAAAGAACAAAUGAACCCCCAAAGAAUGUGCGGAAGAUUUGAACAGACAUUUCACCGAAGAAGAUACAGAGCUGGACCUCACGGGUCGUUAGGGAAACCCACAUUCCAACACUGGAUGCCACUAUCCACCCCUUAGGACAGCUCUUUCUUGAGGUUUGCAGGACCUUAUUUUUAAACUCUGCUUCCCCCAGGUGAUUGGCUGCCUCUACUGUAACCCAGGAGGCCCACGCCCGCUCCCAACCCCUGCCCUGCGGAGGGACUCUCCUCCUGCCCUGUGUAGACCUGCACCAUUCUUAACUUUUUUCCUUUGGCAUCUUGUAGGAGCAAA
rnacentral:lncRNA from 1 species